rnacentral:lncRNA from 1 species
CUAGUGUGUGCCACAAGUCCUCUUGAAUUACACUGUCGUAGGCUCCCUUGAUAUCCAAAAAUGCAAGCCGUA